GCAGGGUAUAGACCCGAAACCCGGUGAUCUAGCCAUGGGCAGGUUGAAGGUUGGGUAACACUAACUGGAGGACCGAACCGACUAAUGUUGAAAAAUUAGCGGAUGACCUGUGGCUGGGGGUGAAAGGCCAAUCAAACCGGGAGAUAGCUGGUUCUCCCCGAAAGCUAUUUAGGUAGCGCCUCGUGAAUUCAUCUCCGGGGGUAGAGCACUGUUUCGGCUAGGGGGCCAUCCCGGCUUACCAACCCGAUGCAAACUGCGAAUACCGGAGAAUGUUAUCACGGGAGACACACGGCGGGUGCUAACGUCCGUCGUGAAGAGGGAAACAACCCAGACCGCCAGCUAAGGUCCCAAAGUCAUGGUUAAGUGGGAAACGAUGUGGGAAGGCCCAGACAGCCAGGAUGUUGGCUUAGAAGCAGCCAUCAUUUAAAGAAAGCGUAAUAGCUCACUGGUCGAGUCGGCCUGCGCGGAAGAUGUAACGGGGCUAAACCAUGCACCGAAGCUGCGGCAGCGAACGUAUCACCCAAGACAACUUUACGGAGUUGACGAUUGACGGAGCGAAGCGACGUCAAAGCGUUCAUUAAAGUCGAGUUGGCUUAGGGAUACGUUCGUUGGGUAGGGGAGCGUUCUGUAAGCCUGUGAAGGUGUGUCGUGAGGCAUGCUGGAGGUAUCAGAAGUGCGAAUGCUGACAUAAGUAACGAUAAAGCGGGUGAAAAGCCCGCUCGCCGGAAGACCA
rnacentral:rRNA from 1 species